rnacentral:rRNA from 1 species
UACGGAGGGUGCAAGCGUUAUCCGGAUUCACUGGGUUUAAAGGGUGCGUAGGCGGAUAAGUAAGUCAGUGGUGAAAUCUCCGAGCUUAACUCGGAAACUGCCGUUGAUACUAUUUGUCUUGAAUAUUGUGGAGGUAAGCGGAAUAUGUCAUGUAGCGGUGAAAUGCAUAGAUAUGUCACAGAACACCAAUUGCGAAGGCAGCUUACUAUGGUUUUAUUGACACUGAGGCACGAAAGCGUGGGGAGCAAACAGG